rnacentral:rRNA from 1 species
UACGUAGGGUGCGAGCGUUAAUCGGAAUUACUGGGCGUAAAGCGUGCGCAGGCGGUUUUGUAAGUCAGAUGUGAAAUCCCCGGGCUCAACCUGGGAACUGCGUUUGAAACUACAAGGCUAGAGUGUAGCAGAGGGGGGUAGAAUUCCACGUGUAGCAGUGAAAUGCGUAGAGAUGUGGAGGAAUACCAAUGGCGAAGGCAGCCCCCUGGGUUAACACUGACGCUCAUGCACGGAAGCGUGGGGAGCAAACAGGAUUAGAA